rnacentral:rRNA from 1 species
UGAUUAUGGCUCAGGAUGAACGCUAGCUACAGGCUUAACACAUGCAAGUCGAGGGGCAGCAUGGUCUUAGCUUGCUAAGGCCGAUGGCGACCGGCGCACGGGUGAGUAACACGUAUCCAACCUGCCGUCUACUCUUGGACAGCCUUCUGAAAGGAAGAUUAAUACAAGAUGGCAUCAUGAGUCCGCAUGUUCACAUGAUUAAAGGUAUUCCGGUAGACGAUGGGGAUGCGUUCCAUUAGAUAGUAGGCGGGGUAACGGCCCACCUAGUCUUCGAUGGAUAGGGGUUCUGAGAGGAAGGUCCCCCACAUUGGAACUGAGACACGGUCCAAACUCCUACGGGAGGCAGCAGUGAGGAAUAUUGGUCAAUGGGCGAGAGCCUGAACCAGCCAAGUAGCGUGAAGGAUGACUGCCCUAUGGGUUGUAAACUUCUUUUAUAAAGGAAUAAAGUCGGGUAUGGAUACCCGUUUGCAUGUACUUUAUGAAUAAGGAUCGGCUAACUCCGUGCCAGCAGCCGCGGUAAUACGGAGGAUCCGAGCGUUAUCCGGAUUUAUUGGGUUUAAAGGGAGCGUAGAUGGAUGUUUAAGUCAGUUGUGAAUGUUUGCGGCUCAACCGUAAAAUUGCAGUUGAUACUGGAUAUCUUGAGUGCAGUUGAGGCAGGCGGAAUUCGUGGUGUAGCGGUGAAAUGCUUAGAUAUCACGAAGAACUCCGAUUGCGAAGGCAGCCUGCUAAGCUGCAACUGACAUUGAGGCUCGAAAGUGUGGGUAUCAAACAGGAUUAGAUACCCUGGUAGUCCACACGGUAAACGAUGAAUACUCGCUGUUUGCGAUAUACGGCAAGCGGCCAAGCGAAAGCGUUAAGUAUUCCACCUGGGGAGUACGCCGGCAACGGUGCAACUCAAAGGAAUUGACGG